rnacentral:rRNA from 1 species
UACGAACGCUGGCGGCAUGCCUAAUACAUGCAAGUCGAGCGAACAGAUGAAGUGCUUGCACUUCUGACGUUAGCGGCGAACGGGUGAGUAACACGUAAGGAAUCUACCUAUAAGCGGGGGAUAACAUUCGGAAACGGGUGCUAAUACCGCAUAAUAUCUUCUUCCGCAUGGAAGAAGAUUGAAAUACGGCUCUGCUGUCACUUCUAGAUGACCUUGCGGUGCAUUAGUUAGUUGGUGGGGUAACGGCCUACCAAGACGAUGAUGCAUAGCCGACCUGAGAGGGUGAUCGGCCACAUUGGGACUGAGACACGGCCCAAACUCCUACGGGAGGCAGCAGUAGGGAAUCUUCCGCAAUGGGCGAAAGCCUGACGGAGCAAUGCCGCGUGAGUGAAGAAGGCCUUCGGGUCGUAAAACUCUGUUAUAAGAGAAGAACAAAUUGUAGAGUUACUGCUACAGUCUUGACGGUAUCUUAUCAGAAAGCCACGGCUAACUACGUGCCAGCAGCCGCCGUAA